rnacentral:lncRNA from 1 species
UUGACUGAAGAGGAGCCUGGUGAUGAAAAGGAACACAGAGAGAAACAUGAGGUAAACUGAGAGUGGAAGCUGGGAACAAUGGAGUAAAUGCUACAGAAUGGGGCAGCCAGGAUCUGUGGUGUGCUUGUCCCAGAACAAAGGCCAAAGGCAAAAGAGAAAAGCUGUCAACGGUUGCAUCCCUGGGGAGAGAUGUUUAACGCAUUCCUGGGCUGCUGACGAAUGUCCUUCCUGUUCUGGAGAAGCAACGGAGGCGGAGGCGUGCCCAGGACCUCAGUUCUGGGGCUUUUGCUCCCUGGUAUGAAGGAAGGGAGAUGGUUGCCCAACCGCCAUCCCUGGAGACUCUACUACAGAAGAGGGGGUUUUGAAAGCGCCAGCUUUCCCUCCUGGAUUUUCCAGCAGCACUAUGACAGUAACUCCACUGUCACCUGCUUCCAAGUGGCUCACAUUAUACAUGGUUGUGAGCCACCAUGUGGUUUCUGGGAAUUGAACUCAAGUCCUCUGGACGAUCAGUCAGUACUCUAAACCUCUGAGCCAUCUCUCCAGCCCAAGUGGCUCAUUCCUAAACCACAGAACCUCUCCAUCACUAGGCUCUUCCACAAGAUACUCUUCCUUAGAGGAACAAGCUACAAAUUCCCAAGUGGAUUGUAAAUGAGAUUCUUCUUCAUCUCCUGCAAGACUGUUCAUGAUCCUUGCAAAAUCCUCACACAGGACCGGAUGGGAAAGGAGUCGAAGCCUCUGAUUUGCUCCAAUGCUUCCUCCAUCUGAACAUAAACGAGAACAGUCCUAGAUCCUAAAAG